GUGCCCAGGCGCGAAAACUUUACAAUGCCGGCAACGGCGAUAAGGGAACCUCGAGUGCCAGGUUACAAAUCUGGCUGUCGUGAUGCCUAAAAAGCAUUGCAUAGCAAGGGCCGGGCAAGACCGGUGCCAGCCGCCGCGGUAACACCGGCGGCUCGAGUGGUAACCGUUAUUAUUGGGUCUAAAGGGUCUGUAGCCGGCCGGGUAAGUCUCUUGGGAAAUCUGGCAGCUUAACUGUCAGGCUUUCAGGAGAUACUGCCUGGCUCGAGGCCGGGAGAGGUGAGAGGUACUUCAGGGGUAGGGGUGAAAUCUUGUAAUCCUUGAAGGACCACCAGUGGCGAAGGCGUCUCACCAGAACGGACCUGACGGCAAGGGACGAAAGCUAGGGGCACGAACCGGAUUAGAUACCCGGGUAGUCCUAGCCGUAAACGAUACUCGCUAGGUGUCGGCCACGGUGCGACCGUGGUCGGUGCCGUAGGGAAGCCGUGAAGCGAGCCACCUGGGAAGUACGGCCGCAAGGCUGAAACUUAAAGGAAUUGGCGGGGGAGCAC
rnacentral:rRNA from 1 species